AACGAACGCUGGCGGCAUGCCUAACACAUGCAAGUCGAACGAGAUCUUCGGGUCUAGUGGCGCACGGGUGCGUAACGCGUGGGAAUCUGCCCUUUGGUUCGGAAUAACAGUUGGAAACGACUGCUAAUACCGGAUGAUGACGAAAGUCCAAAGAUUUAUCGCCAGAGGAUGAGCCCGCGUAGGAUUAGCUAGUUGGUGUGGUAAAGGCACACCAAGGCGACGAUCCUUAGCUGGUCUGAGAGGAUGAUCAGCCACACUGGGACUGAGACACGGCCCAGUCUCCUACGGGAGGCAGCAGUGGGGAAUAUUGGACAAUGGGCGAAAGCCUGAUCCAGCAACGCCGCGUGAGUGAUGAAGGCCUUAGGGUUGUAAAGCUCUUUUACCCGGGAUGAUAAUGACAGUACCGGGAGAAUAAGCUCCGGCUAACUCCGUGCCAGCCGCCGCCGUAA
rnacentral:rRNA from 1 species